rnacentral:ncRNA from 1 species
AAGCAUAGAUUAAAACUACUACCUCUUGUACAAUGAAUCAACUAGAAAUAUCUUUAUAAGAAGAAUUGAAGCUAAUUACCCCGAAACCAGACAAGCUACCUUUGAACAGCUAAACUGAGCCAACCCGUCUAUGUAGCAGAAUAGUGGGAAGAUUCAACGGUAGAGGUGAAAAGCCUAUCGAGUUUGGUGAUAGCUGAUUAUCCAAACAGGAAUAUUAAUUUAACUUUAAGUAUUUUAAAAAAACAAUAAUUCAUCAUGAAAACUUAAAUGUUAAUUUAUAGAGGGACAGCUCUAUAAAAAAGGAAUAAGCCUUUAACAGAGGGUAAAUAAAUUAACAUAUCAUAGUUGGCCUAAAAGCAGUCCUCAAUUAAGAAAGUGUUCAAACUCAACAAACCACACCACUACUAAUUCCUAUAACAAUUACUGAACCCCUGAAUGUGAUAUUGAAUAAAUCUAUUAAAUUAUAGAAGAAAUAAUAUUGAUAUUAGUAAUGAGAACUACUUCUCCACUCACAAGUUUAUAUCUAAUCGGAUAACCACUGAUAGUUAUGAGCCAAAAUAACCUUAUUAAUUAUUUCAUUCAAUCUAUUGUUAAUCCGACACAGGAGUGCUCAAAAGCAAAGACUAAAAAAGAUGAAAGGAACUCGGCAAACACAAAUCCCGCCUGUUUACCAAAAACAUCACCUCUAGAAUAAUAAGUAUUAGAGGCACUGCCUGCCCAGUGAUAUAAUUUUAACGGCUGCGGUAUCCUGACCGUGCAAAGGCAGUGUAAUCACUUAUAUCUUAAAUAGGGACUUGUAUGAAUGGCUAGAUGAGGAUUUUUCUGUCUCUUAUCUUUGGUCAGUGAAAUUG